AAAAGCCUCUAAGCAUCAGGUAACAUCAAAUCGUACCCCAAACCGACACAGGUGGUCAGGUAGAGAAUACCAAGGCGCUUGAGAGAACUCGGGUGAAGGAACUAGGCAAAAUGGUGCCGUAACUUCGGGAGAAGGCACGCUGAUAUGUAGGUGAAGUCCCUCGCGGAUGGAGCUGAAAUCAGUCGAAGAUACCAGCUGGCUGCAACUGUUUAUUAAAAACACAGCACUGUGCAAACACGAAAGUGGACGUAUACGGUGUGACGCCUGCCCGGUGCCGGAAGGUUAAUUGAUGGGGUCAGCGCAAGCGAAGCUCUUGAUCGAAGCCCCGGUAAACGGCGGCCGUAACUAUAACGGUCCUAAGGUAGCGAAAUUCCUUGUCGGGUAAGUUCCGACCUGCACGAAUGGCGUAAUGAUGGCCAGGCUGUCUCCACCCGAGACUCAGUGAAAUUGAACUCGCUGUGAAGAUGCAGUGUACCCGCGGCAAGACGGAAAGACCCCGUGAACCUUUACUAUAGCUUGACACUGAACAUUGAGCCUUGAUGUGUAGGAUAGGUGGGAGGCUUAGAAGUGUGGACGCCAGUCUGCAUGGAGCCGACCUUGAAAUACCACCCUUUAAUGUUUGAUGUUCUAACGUUGACCCGUAAUCCGGGUUGCGGACAGUGUCUGGUGGGUAGUUUGACUGGGGCGGUCUCCUCCUAAAGAGUAACGGAGGAGCACGAAGGUUGGCUAAUCCUGGUCGGACAUCAGGAGGUUAGUGCAAUGGCAUAAGCCAGCUUGACUGCGAGCGUGACGGCGCGAGCAGGUGCGAAAGCAGGUCAUAGUGAUCCGGUGGUUCUGAAUGGAAGGGCCAUCGCUCAACGGAUAAAAGGUACUCCGGGGAUAACAGGCUGAUACCGCCCAAGAGUUCAUAUCGACGGCGGUGUUUGGCACCUCGAUGUCGGCUCAUCACAUCCUGGGGCUGAAGUAGGUCCCAAGGGUAUGGCUGUUCGCCAUUUAAAGUGGUACGCGAGCUGGGUUUAGAACGUCGUGAGACAGUUCGGUCCCUAUCUGCCGUGGGCGCUGGAGAACUGAGGGGGGCUGCUCCUAGUACGAGAGGACCGGAGUGGACGCAUCACUGGUGUUCGGGUUGUCAUGCCAAUGGCACUGCCCGGUAGCUAAAUGCGGAAGAGAUAAGUGCUGAAAGCAUCUAAGCACGAAACUUGCC
rnacentral:rRNA from 2 species